rnacentral:rRNA from 1 species
AUGUGAUCGUCUCUCGCAUAUCAAUAAGCGGAGGAAAAGAAACUAACAAGGAUUCCCCUAGUAACGGCGAGUGAAGCGGGAAGAGCUCAAAUUUGAAAUCUUAAAGGGUUUCCCUUUACGAAUUGUAGUUUAAAGAAGUGUUUUCUGUUGAGGUUUUGGUAAAAGUUCUUUGGAAUAGGACAUCAUAGAGGGUGAGAAUCCCGUAUUUGGUACAUUACUUUCUAACUUUGUGAUACACUUUCAAAGAGUCGGAUUGUUUGGGAAUGCAGUCCAAAAUGGGUGGUAAAUUUCAUCUAAAGCUAAAUAUUGGCGAGAGACCGAUAGCGAACAAGUACCGUGAGGGAAAGAUGAAAAGAACUUUGAAAAGAGAGUUAAACAGUACGUGAAAUUGUCAAAAGGGAAGCGUUUGACACUAGUGUUGUUUUUCUGAAAAUCAAUUAAAGAACUGUUUAUGCUAAGCUGUUUAGACUUUAUCAGCUAUCUGUUUAGUUUUGAGCUUUUCUUUAAUGCACUUUUCAGUUAACAAGUCAACAUCAAUUUCUUUUGCUGUAAAAAAGCUUGAGGAAGGUGGCUUGAGAUUCGUCUUAAGUGUUUAUAGCCUCUUGCCUAUGCAGUCGGAGAGACUGAGGUCUGCAGCGUAGAUCUUUCGGGGCUAAAUGCAUUUGUGCUAAGUUAUAGCAUUUCAUAGACAACUUGUUGACUAUGAUUUGUCUUGUAGCUUACUCGCUUAUGUUAUUUUACCUACGCUUAGGAUGUUGACUGAUAUGUAGUCGUA